rnacentral:rRNA from 1 species
GACGAACGCUGGCGGCGUGCUUAACACAUGCAAGUCGAACGGAAAGGCCCUGCUUGCAGGGUACUCGAGUGGCGAACGGGUGAGUAACACGUGGGUGAUCUGCCCUGCACUUCGGGAUAAGCCUGGGAAACUGGGUCUAAUACCGGAUAGGAGCCAUUUUUAGUGUGAUGGUUGGAAAGUUUUUUCGGUGUAGGAUGAGCUCGCGGCCUAUCAGCUUGUUGGUGGGGUAAUGGCCUACCAAGGCGGCGACGGGUAGCCGGCCUGAGAGGGUGGACGGCCACAUUGGGACUGGGAUACGGCCCAGACUCCUACGGGAGGCAGCAGUGGGGAAUAUUGCACAAUGGGCGCAAGCCUGAUGCAGCGACGCCGCGGGGGGGAUGACGGCCUUCGGGUUGUAAACUCCUUUCGCUAGGGACGAAGCUUUUUGUGACGGUACCUAGAGAAGAAGCACCGGCUAACUACGUG